rnacentral:tRNA from 1 species
UGGGGUAUAGCUCAGUGACAGAGUACAUGCCUAGCAUGCAUGAAUUGCUCAGUUCAAUCCCCAGUACCUCCA